GCACCAGGGGGAUGCCCAGGUCUUUUAAGAAGGGGACGUAUACCACCACGAAAGGCAAAGGCUAAGUAAAAAACGAUGAACCUUUGAUUUCCCGAAAUGAAAACAUUAAACAUAUCGAGUGUAGUUCGAAAACACCGAGGGAAGUGAAACAUCUCAGUACCUCGAGGAAGAUUGAUCAACCGAGACUCCGGAUGUAGAUGCGAUCGAAACCGGACCAAACCUCACUUUUCACAACAAAAGCUUGAAAGAAAAUAAUGAACCGUGGUGGAAUCCCGGGCCAGAGAAGGUGAAAGCCCUGUACUCUUUGUUUUUCAAGUCUUUAAGAAAAGAAUCAGAGUACAUCGAGUCAAAUUGAUGGAAGAUAGGGGGACCACCCUCUGAAGGUUGGAUACUUAAAAGAACCGAUAGCGCAGGAUGUACCGUGAGGGAAGGGUGAAAAGAACCGAUACAAGGCCAUUUUCUGGUUUUGAAGAACGAGGUUUGAAAAGAACCUGAAUCCUGGUGCACAACAAGCAGUCGGAGCUCAUUAGAGACUAUUUGGUCUUGAAACAUGGGUGACGGCGUACCUUUUGCAUAAUGGGUCAGCGAGUGUAGAUCACUUUGUAAACUUCACACACAAAGUAGCUUAAACCAAAAGGUGGAGGCAAGAGCAAAGGCGAGUCG
rnacentral:rRNA from 1 species